UACGUAGGGGGCAAGCGUUGUCCGGAAUCAUUGGGCGUAAAGAGCGUGUAGGCGGUUCGAUAAGUCUGCUGUGAAAGUCCAGGGCUCAACCCUGGAAGGCCGGUGGAAACUGCCGGGCUAGAGUCCGGAAGAGGCGAGUGGAAUUCCCGGUGUAGCGGUGAAAUGCGCAGAUAUUGGGAGGAACACUAAUGGCGAAGGCAGUUCGCUGGGACGGUACUGACGCUGAGACGCGAAAGCGUGGGGAGCAAACAGG
rnacentral:rRNA from 1 species